rnacentral:rRNA from 1 species
ACACGUAGGGGGCGAGCGUUGUCCGGAAUUACUGGGCGUAAAGGGCGUGUAGGCGGUUUUGCAAGUCAGCUGUGAAACCCCCGGGCUCAACCCGGGGCUUGCAGUUGAAACUGCGGGGCUUGAGUGCAGGAGAGGAGAGUGGAAUUCCUAGUGUAGCGGUGAUAUGCGUAGAUAUUAGGAGGAACACCAGUGGCGAAGGCGGCUCUCUGGACUGCAACUGACGCUGAGGCGCGAAAGCGUGGGGAGCAAACAGGAUUAGAUACCCUGGUAGUCCACGCUGUAAACGAUGGGUACUAGGUGUAGGGGGUUUAGAUACCUUCUGUGCCGCAGCAAACGCAUUAAGUACCCCGCCUGGGGACUACGGCCGCAAGGUUGAA